rnacentral:rRNA from 1 species
UGGGGAAUAUUGCACAAUGGGCGCAAGCCUGAUGCAGCCAUGCCGCGUGUAUGAAGAAGGCCUUCGGGGUGUAAAGUACUUUCAGUCGGGAGGAAGGUGGUAAGGUUAAUAACCUUAUCAAUUGACGUUACCGACAGAAGAAGCACCGGCUAACUCCGUGCCAGCAGCCGCGGUAAUACGGAGGGUGCAAGCGUUAAUCGGAAUUACUGGGCGUAAAGCGCACGCAGGCGGUUGAUUGAGUCAGAUGUGAAAUCCCCGGGCUUAACCCGGGAAUUGCAUCUGAUACUGGUCAGCUAGAGUCUUGUAGAGGGGGGUAGAAUUCCAUGUGUAGCGGUGAAAUGCGUAGAGAUGUGGGGGAAUACCGGUGGCGAAGGCGGCCCCCUGGACAAAGACUGACGCUCAGGUGCGAAAGCGUGGGGAGCAAACAGG